rnacentral:rRNA from 1 species
GUCGAGAAUAAUUCACAAUGGACGAAAGUCUGAUGGUGCAACGCCGCGUGGAGGAUGAAGGUCUUCGGAUUGUAAACUCCUGUCAUCCGGGAGUAAGACCUGGCUGUGAAUAGCAGACAGGGUUGAUAGUACCGGAAGAGGAAGGGACGGCUAACUUCGUGCCAGCAGCCGCGGUAAUACGAAGGUCCCGAGCGUUGUUCGGAAUCACUGGGCGUAAAGGGAGCGUAGGCGGCGCGGUAAGUCAGAUGUGAAAUCCCGGGGCUCAACCCCGGAACUGCAUCCGAUACUGCCGUGCUAGAGGAGUGGAGAGGUAGCUGGAAUUCUUGGUGUAGCAGUGAAAUGCGUGGAGAUCAAGAGGAACACUCGUGGCGAAAGCGAGCUACUGGACAAUAUCUGACGCUGAGGCUCGAAGGCCAGGGUAGCGAAAGGGAUUAGAAACCCGGGUAGUCC